rnacentral:rRNA from 1 species
GAUGAACGCUAGCUACAGGCUUAACACAUGCAAGUCGAGGGGUAACGAGAGGGAAGCUUGCUUCCCUUGUCGACGACCGGCGCACGGGUGAGUAACGCGUAUCCAACCUGCCCCCAACUAGGGAAUAACCUUGCGAAAGUAAGACUAAUACCCUAUAAUUUCCUCAGAUGUCAUCUGACGAGGAAUAAAGAUUUAUCGGUUGUGGAUGGGGAUGCGUCUGAUUAGCUUGUUGGCGGGGUAACGGCCCACCAAGGCAACGAUCAGUAGGGGUUCUUGGAGGAAGGUCCCCCACAUUGGAACUGAGACACGGUCCAAACUCCUACGGGAGGCAGCAGUGAGGAAUAUUGGUCAAUGGGCGGAAGCCUGAACCAGCCAAGUAGCGUGCAGGAUGACGGCCCUAUGGGUUGUAAACUGCUUUUAUACAGGAAUAAAGUUAGCCACGUGUGGUUAUUUGUAGGUACUGUAUGAAUAAGGACCGGCUAAUUCCGUGCCAGCCGCCGCAGUAA